rnacentral:sRNA from 1 species
GUCCAGAACGCGGCGGACCACAGCCAGCAACCUGCGAAGGUGAGGGCUGCAGUCGGCCAAAACCGCGUCGCCAUGACCGAGAGGCCGGCUGC